GGGAAGCUGGUUGGUGGCCCCGCCCCACAAAGGCCAGCUGCGGGGUGGGGCGAGGCGGGUACUCCCGGGUCUGGGCUGCUGCUCAGCCAGGAGGCACGGGCUCCUCCCCAGCGAGAGGACUUAUUUGGACCUUAGCAAUCUGAAGCUCUUCACAGAGAUUCUGGGAGAAAACCCUUUAAGAAAGCUGCGUCCUGAACUGGGCAGGUGUGGCCCAGCCCUCUACGCAUUGCUGUCACACCGUUCCAUUGCAAAUUAAUGAUUCCCAAUCAAAGGUUAGGUGGAAGCUCCUCAACUGAACAGUGAAAAGAAUUUUGAAAGACAGAAAUUUCUUUUGCACUUCUAUCAGGUCUGAAAAAUGCUGCUGGAACUGUAGUUUGAGCUUGGAAAAUAUAUCUGCUGUGAAUUUGUGUGGGAACGGUGAAUCUCCCCUCUUGUUUGAACUUCUAACAGCACAGGAAGCAGCUUGACAGUUACUUGUG
rnacentral:lncRNA from 1 species